rnacentral:rRNA from 1 species
UACGGAGGGUCCAAGCGUUAUCCGGAAUCAUUGGGUUUAAAGGGUCCGUAGGCGGUUUUGUAAGUCAGUGGUGAAAGCCCAUCGCUCAACGGUGGAACGGCCAUUGAUACUGCAAGACUUGAAUUAUUAGGAAGUAACUAGAAUAUGUAGUGUAGCGGUGAAAUGCUUAGAGAUUACAUGGAAUACCAAUUGCGAAGGCAGGUUACUACUAAAUAUAUUUGACGCUGAUGGACGAAAGCGUGGGUAGCGAACAGG